rnacentral:rRNA from 1 species
CCCAGACUCCUACGGGAGGCAGCAGUGGGGAAUAUUGCACAAUGGGGGAAACCCUGAUGCAGCGACGCCGCGUGAGUGAAGAAGUAAUUCGUUAUGUAAAGCUCUAUCAGCAGGGAAGAAAAUGACGGUACCUGAGUAAGAAGCCCCGGCUAACUACGUGCCAGCAGCCGCGGUAAUACGUAGGGGGCAAGCGUUAUCCGGAUUUACUGGGUGUAAAGGGAGCGUAGACGGCAGUGCAAGUCUGGAGUGAAAGGCGGGGGCUCAACCCCCGGACUGCUUUUGAAACUGUCAAACUAGAGUACGGGAGAGGUAAGGGGAAUUCCUAGUGUAGCGGUGAAAUGCGUAGAUAUUAGGAAGAACACCAGUGGCGAAGGCGGCUUUCCGGACUGAAACUGACGCUGAGGCACGAAAGCGUGGGGAGCGAACAGGAUUAGAUACCCGGGUA